rnacentral:piRNA from 1 species
GUAGGGCCCAAAAGAUUGGUCGGACCAGA